rnacentral:pre_miRNA from 1 species
GUAAUACUUCCUCCAUCCGGAAAUACUUGUCCUAGAGAUGAAUGUAUCUACUUGUCCUAGAGAUGAAUGUAUCUAGACUUAUUUUAAUUAUAGAUACAUCCAUUUUAUUCAUUUUUAGGACAAGUAUUUUCGGACGGAGGGAGUACAUC